rnacentral:lncRNA from 1 species
AUAUCUUACUUAGCCAUUUUGAACCUAUUUUGGAAACUAAAUACCACACUUAGUCGAAUUUAACCCCUUUUGUUCUAAAUCAAACGAUACUUCUAAUUUUAACGAUCGAGCAAUCUAGAUGACUCAAAUUUUCACCGAGGUGAGUUCGCAUCAUUUGGUAUUAGAGCUAGCUAAAAUCGAGGAGUAUGGACGUUCAAGCAUCACGGGGUAAGUUUUGAAAAAAAACAAAAAAAUUUUGAAAAAAAUCAAAAAUAUUCAUGUACAAAAAAGAAUUUAUAUACAUUCAGCAUUUUAGAAAAAAAAAGAAGAGAAAAACAAAAUUUCAAAAAAAAAAGAAAAGUGUUUUGAAAGUGUUCAUAGUUUCUUUCGAUCGUCAAAAGUUCUUUCCUACCAAAAACAAAC